rnacentral:tRNA from 1 species
AGCAGCAUGGCUCAGUGGAAAGAGCCCGGACUUUGGAGUCAGAGGUCAUGGGUUCGAAUCCCAGCUCUGCCA